rnacentral:rRNA from 1 species
AUUGAAUGCUGGCGGCAUGCUUUACACAUGCAAGUCGAACGGCAGCGCGGGCUUCGGCCUGGCGGCGAGUGGCGAACGGGUGAGUAAUGCAUCGGAACGUGCCCAGUAGUGGGGGAUAGCCCGGCGAAAGCCGGAUUAAUACCGCAUACGACCUGAGGGUGAAAGCGGGGGACCGAAAGGCCUCGCGCUAUUGGAGCGGCCGAUGUCGGAUUAGCUAGUUGGUGGGGUAAAGGCUUACCAAGGCGACGAUCCGUAGCUGGUCUGAGAGGACGACCAGCCACACUGGGACUGAGACACGGCCCAGACUCCUACGGGAGGCAGCAGUGGGGAAUUUUGGACAAUGGGGGCAACCCUGAUCCAGCCAUGCCGCGUGCGGGAAGAAGGCCUUCGGGUUGUAAACCGCUUCUGUUCGGGAAGAAAUCCUCUGGGCUAAUACCCCGGGGGGAUGACGGUACCGGAAGAAUAAGCACCGGCUAACUACGUG